rnacentral:rRNA from 1 species
GAUGAACGCUGACAGAAUGCUUAACACAUGCAAGUCAACUUGAAUUUGGGUUUUUAACUUAGGUUUGGGUGGCGGACGGGUGAGUAACGCGUAAAGAACUUGCCUCACAGCUAGGGACAACAUCUGGAAACGAAUGCUAAUACCUAAUAUUAUGAUAAUAGGGCAUCCUAUAAUUAUGAAAGCUAUAAGCGCUGUGAGAGAGCUUUGCGUCCCAUUAGCUAGUUGGAGAGGUAACGGCUCACCAAGGCGAUGAUGGGUAGCCGGCCUGAGAGGGUGAUCGGCCACAAGGGGACUGAGACACGGCCCUUACUCCUACGGGAGGCAGCAGUGGGGAAUAUUGGACAAUGGACCGAGAGUCUGAUCCAGCAAUUCUGUGUGCACGAUGAAGUUUUUCGGAAUGUAAAGUGCUUUCAGUUGGGAAGAAACAAAUGACGGUACCAACAGAAGAAGAGACGGCUAAAUACGUG